UCGGAGGGAACCAGCUACUA
rnacentral:siRNA from 1 species